CAAGUUCGGCAGGGGUGCCACAGACAAAGGCUGAGAUUGCGGCAGCAUGCUGUUUCCGCAGGACCCUUCAAACCUGAUGCGGGUAAUUCCGCCGCAGGGAGUUCGAUCAAGCGGGCCG
rfam:Akkermansia sp. KLE1798 genomic scaffold Scaffold395, whole genome shotgun sequence.